UUGAAAGGGAAACGAUUGAAGUCAGUCGUACCUGCGGGUAAUCAGCCUUUUGGGCAUGAUUCUGUGGAGCGUGAGGAGUUAAACGCCUUCAUGCCUGCAUAUUCGUGUACUUUGGGUGUACUUGCCCGUGUGGUUAGUUAACAUCAAUUUUGGUUAUCAUAAAAUGGCUGGAGGAAUGUAGCUUCGAUUUCGAUUGAAGUGUUAUAGCCUUCGGCAGAUGUGAUGAUCGGGAUUGAGGAUUGCAACGGAUACCCUUCGGGCUACCUGUCUGAUCUCUGAUCGUUGCUCUGGUGCCGAGAGCGUGCUUACGGUUAUCAAAGUCGAUGGUUAAUAGGUUAGAACGGGUUAAAUUCGUUAAGGAUGUUGACGUA
rnacentral:rRNA from 2 species